rnacentral:rRNA from 1 species
CGCGGCGCAUUAGCUAGUUGGUAAGGUAAAGGCUUACCAAGGCGACGAUGCGUAGCCGACCUGAGAGGGUGAUCGGCCACAUUGGAACUGAGACACGGUCCAGACUCCUACGGGAGGCAGCAGUGGGGAAUAUUGCGCAAUGGGCGAAAGCCUGAUGCAGCAACGCCGCGUGAACGAUGAAGGUCUUCGGAUCGUAAAGUUCUGUCGCAGGGGAAGAUAAUGACGGUACCAGAGGAGGAAGCCACGGCUAACUAC